UACAGAGGUCUCAAGCGUUGUUCGGAUUCAUUGGGCGUAAAGGGUGCGUAGGCGGCGCGGUAAGUCGGGUGUGAAAUCUCGGGGCUUAACUCCGAAACUGCAUUCGAUACUGCCGUGCUUGAGGACUGGAGAGGAGACUGGAAUUUACGGUGUAGCGGUGAAAUGCGUAGAUAUCGUAAGGAAGACCAGUGGCGAAGGCGGGUCUCUGGACAGGUCCUGACACUGAGACACGAAGGCCAGGGGAGCAAACGGG
rnacentral:rRNA from 1 species